CUGCACUUUUAUAGUAGUAUGAACUUUUCCUGAGAUGGCCGCCACCAUGGGGCUAGGCAGUGUUUACGGUCUUUAUGCAGCUAGUUGUCUGAUGGCUGUCGUAUUUGUUAUAUUUUGUCUACCAGAAACUAAAGGGAUUCUAAUUAAACCCGAAGGGGAUCCCCAUAUCGUUCUUAAUAAGCCAACGCCAAAAAGUAAAAUGCCUACUCAAUCAGUUAAAAAAAAUCCGCCAUUUCAACGUGUUCAAAUCAUUCAAAUUUCAAAUUACAUUAUGUACUUUUUUUUCCUAAACACAAACUUAAGCGUCCUGUGAUCUCAUCAACUAUUUGAUUUGAAGUAUGUCUGUAUAAUUUAGCAGGUUGAAAAAUACUUAUUGGAUUUUUAAAUAAAUACUGCAUUUUCUGUU